CGCAAGUUUGAGGCCGGCCUGGCCUAUUUAACAUGUUUCAGGCUAGUCUAGGUUAUAGAAUGAGGCCUUACCUCCCAAGCAGGGAUGUGGUGGGGGAAUUAACAGAGCAUUAGGUUGUAAAAGAGCAUUAGGCAUUAACAUUGUAAUAGAAUUGUAUCAUAUAGUAUAUAGACGACUUCUUAUCUGGAAAAGAAAAUACAAUAUAAUACAUACACAAUUUACUCUUUGCUUUUGGUUCUUGUCAAAGGGAUUUUUCAUCUUCUGUUUUGGAAUUCUCUUGGAUAACAAGAUGCGGCAACUUCUGUCCAACAAGUUGACUUCAUUAAGUUCAUGGAAGCAAACAUCAAAGCAAAACUCUUCAGAUAUUGUUACCAAGCCGAAAUGCUUAAGGCCUUUCAACAUACUACAGCACAGAGGCAUGUAUGCGCUUUCUCAUACUAGAGAUUCGUCCACUGACAUCACAUUAACCCAGUUUUUAUCAACCGAAUAAAGCCACGAGUCAUCAUCAAGGGCAAAUUUUUCUUUGAGCGACAUGUUAUUUAGAGCCAGCAAAGACACACACAGAAUCAGAUGAGACUUUGUGACUUGGGAGUCCGAGGAUAAAGCUGGUUACUUUGGGGCUGGAGAGACGGCUCAGUGGCUAAGAGCACUUGAUGCUCUUGCAGAAGACCUGGACUCAGUUCCCAGCGCCCACAUGGUGGAUCACAGCCAUCUGUUCCGGGGGAUCUGUGGCCCUCUUCUGACUUCUGUGAGCACUACAGACACAUGCAGUGGGUGCACAGACAUACAUGCAGGCAAAACAUUCAUACACAAAGAAAAUAAAUCUUUUUUAAAAACCCAAUAGGUGACUUCAGUGGUUCAACCCUGCCUCCUUUAUCCCAAAUUAAAUAGAAAUGGCAUUAAUUAAAGAGUGAGGUAAGAAAUGUCACACAUUGUUCAUACAGGAAGACUUGUCAAUGAGGCCCCUCCCCCUGCCCCCAGUAUCUCCAGCCAUUAGGGAAAAUUAAAACACCAAUAAGAUAGUGCCAUACACCUACUAGAAUAUCUGUCCGAACAAUCUAACCCCUAUCCCGGGGAGCACAGCAUAAUUCUACUCGUCCUGAACCUUGGUCAAGCAAGAUGGUCCACAGUAAAGUAGGUCAGUCAUUUUAGGGUAGAGUUGAGUGGUGAAUGCCACAGAAUAAGGAAGGAGCAUGCAAAUUCUCCUGGGAGGUGACAUAUAAGUUACAGUAAUGGUGGCUUGGCAAUGUGUGCACUAUUCAAACCAUAUUGCACAUUACAUGCAAUUAAUACAUAGAGUUUAUUGUUAAUAGGUUUUAUUUUUAAGGCAAAAGGAUGAAGUACACACAGGAUGGAAUAAUGUAGUUGGUUCAAACUCAAUUUAGGAAACAAGCAUAUGCUGCCCUCAAUGGCUCAGUGGCUAAAAACACUUACUGCCAAGCCUGAGGACCUGAGUUCAAUCCCCAGGACCCACAUGAUGGGAAAAGAGAUCUGACACAGGUUGUUUGUUCUCUGGAUUCCAUACA
rnacentral:lncRNA from 1 species